rnacentral:rRNA from 1 species
AUCGAACGCUGGCGGCAGGCCUAACACAUGCAAGUCGAGCGGAUGAAGGGAGCUUGCUCCUGGAUUCAGCGGCGGACGGGUGAGUAAUGCCUAGGAAUCUGCCUGGUAGUGGGGGAUAACGUCCGGAAACGGGCGCUAAUACCGCAUACGUCCUGAGGGAGAAAGUGGGGGAUCUUCGGACCUCACGCUAUCAGAUGAGCCUAGGUCGGAUUAGCUAGUUGGUGGGGUAAAGGCCUACCAAGGCGACGAUCGGUAACUGGUCUGAGAGGAUGAUCAGUCACACUGGAACUGAGACACGGUCCAGACUCCUACGGGAGGCAGAAGUGGGGAAUAUUGGACAAUGGGCGAAAGACUGAUCCAGCCAUGCCGCGUGUGUGGAGAAGGUCUUCGGAUUGUAAAGCACUUUAAGUUGGGAGGAAGGGCAGUAAGUUAAUACCUUGCUGUUUUGACGGUACCAACAGAAUAAGCACCGGCUAACUUCGUG